rnacentral:rRNA from 1 species
CACGUAGGGUGCGAGCGUUGUCCGGAAUUAUUGGGCGUAAAGAGCUCGUAGGCGGUGUGUCGCGUCGGCCGUGAAAACCUGCAGCUUAACUGUGGGCGUGCGGUCGAUACGGGCAUCACUGGAGUUCGGCAGGGGAGACUGGAAUUCCUGGUGUAGCGGUGAAAUGCGCAGAUAUCAGGAGGAACACCGGUGGCGAAGGCGGGUCUCUGGGCCGAUACUGACGCUGAGGAGCGAAAGCCAGGGGAGCGAACGGG